UUACUAUUUUGAUUUUUUUAGUUACAUAUGACUAAACAAGAGAAAAAUUACAAAUGGCAAAAGUUUCUUCAGACUUUUUUUUCAAUCAACAACAGUAAGAACUGAUAAAUUAAGAAGUAAACAGAUUUCAGAAAAGUCUUUGUCCUACCAAGUGAUGAUCAUGAUGAUUGCGAUGAUGAUAUGAUAUACAUGAUAAUGAUGAGCAUAUGAAAUUGAGAUGGUGAUCAUCAUCAUAUCAUGAUGCUGGUUUACUUUCAGUAUUUUAUAGUAAUGUAUAUUAUAACAAAUUUGUAUAUAUAAGUUCAGAAACUGACACUCCACAUUUACUGAAAAAAAAGAAAGUCGUAAAUAAUAAAAAAAGACACUUGCUCUAGCCCGUGCUAUUUCUCCUUUAACAUUUUUAUGUAUUGAAAAUUUGACUUCAUCAGAUCAUUUAAAAUUAAAUAACUUUUUAAAACAAGGCUCUGCUACUUUUUUUAUACUUUUUUUAUUUGAAUAUUCUUUUUUAUUUUUGUAACUGAGUUCCAAUAUGUUCUGAAACAAUCUUUUAGUUAGUUUAUGUAAAUAGGACACAAAUAUGUAUCAAAAUUUAUCAAGUUAAAUUGAUGGACAUUUUUUCGAAAUUUUUUAAUGACGAAUUUAUUUAAAAGAGUGCUUUAUAAGGUGACAAUUUUUUAAUUUAUUUUUAGCGCUUUAAUUCUAAAAAAUGUGCUUUGAUUAAAGAAAAAUGAAAAUAUUUUGUUGCCUAUUGAGAUGGUAUCAACUUAGUUGCGUGCUGAUCAGUUGCUGGAUGAGUUAAAGCUCUCACAGCUCCCUAAAUCAGUAUUGCAUCAUCAGUUGCAUCUAAUGCUAAAAUUGAAGCACAUAGUAAGCAUUAGUAAACUGAAUUUAACUGUUUCAUUAUUGUUAAUUUUUUGUUAUUUUAGUUUUUGGGGUCUUAAGUGACAUCCAAUAGAUGUUUAUCUGUAAGAUGGUUUCUUGCAAAUGUGAGCAAAAAAACACUUCAUUGCAUUGAUGCUGUGAAAAUAAAAGCUUUCACCUCAGGAGCAUCAGGAGAAGAAUUUAAACAUUAACUGAAGAGAUAUUUUUUGCUUUUUGGGGAUCGAAAUGGCGGACGAAAAGCUCGAAAUAACAAUUUGAACUUUUAAUAAUAUUUUUUUAUUUUUUAUUUCAUCAUUUUUCAACUUACUUUUGGUUGGAAAUAAAUUUCGAAAAUACUUAUUUAUUUUUUUCGAUAUAAGUUGGAAUAAAUUUCGAAAAGUA